AUGGACUCGGUGUGCGCCGCCGCGGUGUUGCUGCUCGUCUGCACGGCCGGCGCGCUCGUCACCCACGGUGAGACAAGACGCGGCUGCGUCCCUUCUGCUCGUCUCUUGGUUCUUGAAUCACGGCCGGUUCGCUGCAUAUCACUCUGUGUCAGUUUAUUCUGCCUGAUGAAUCUUCUUUCCGUCGACGACGACCUGAUGCAGCUGCAGGAGUCUCGGCCAAGGAACCGUCGCCGGGCAGCAGGCUCUUCCCAGGCCCCGGCGGCUGCGAGAAAGGCAAGUGCCUAUGCGGUUUCUGCUGAAGAAGAAAGGCCUACUCCCUUAACGGGCGUAGCACAUGAUCCUACGUCUUGUACCAACGACCAACUGUUCCGGUCAUCUGGCUGCAUCCGUGCGUGCCCGAGUGAUUUGAUGGCUUGUUCCAUCUUGUGCACUCUGCUUGUGAUGGGCACCGCGGUGGUGAUCGGCAUGGCUCACGCCGGCGACCCCCUCACCGCCGGCUUCACCCCUGUGAGGCUGACGGAGUCCCAGUUCGUUGUGCAGAGGCCUUACGACGUCCCGCUCGACGCGCGCUACGAGUUCGCCGGCGGCGUGCGCCGGAUGUGGGCCUACUCCACUGACAAGCCCAUGAGCGCCACCCACCAUGACCUGCGGAGGGUGCUCGCCGGCGGCGUCUACGACCGGUGGCUCCGGCUCAACGUCGUCCAUGACGUGGGGGCGCGCAACGUCACCGUGUUCGUCGACGGCGCCGAGGUGCUGCGCUCGCGCAGCCACGGUGCGCCCGGCGCACCGCACUACUUCAAGUUCGGGGUGUACAAGCAGUCGCACCACCACCCGUCGGACCGCAUGGAGUCGCGAUGGAGGAACGUCCGAGUCUUCACCAAGCAUUGA
rnacentral:rRNA from 1 species